CCAGGAUGGUAUUUUGUUAAAACAGCUGAAUGGACUAAGACAAGAAAUUCACAGCAAGGAGAAAAUUACCUGAGUCUUACCAAUCUGUUUCUCACCCUUUCUACCCUGAAUGAGACCAUUCAGGCUUUCUUAUUAUCUUCAGGUUUACUGGAUGUUCUCCUAAAAACGUAUUUCAGUUGGUCAUUCAGUUGUUAAAUUAGGUUUAGCCUAAAGCUGCCUCCUUACAUAUUUUAAAUUCAGCCAAAAGGUUUCUCCAUAGUAAACUGUAACCUAACUAUAUGUGUAAACAGAGCAUAACCUACUCUUCUGCUAAUCACCAAGUAUUGGCCAAUCAAAGGUGACCAACUAUUCAAAUCGUGUUCAAAUAAGGCAAAUGCCAAACUGUAACCAAUCCAGAAAUAAGGCAAACACCAAACUGUAACCAAUCCAGCUGUUUCCGCACCUCAUUUCCAUUUACUAAUGUCACUUUCCUUUUUCUGUCCAUAAAUCUUCCAACAUGUGGCUGUACUGGAGUCUCUCUGAAUGUACUCUGGCCUGGGGAUUGGGGGUGUAGGGGCUGUGGAAGUGGAGGUGAUCCCAGAUUCAAGACUCAUUCUUUGCUCAAUUAAACUCUUUUAUUUUAUUUUAUUUUAUUUUUGAGGUGGAGUUUCACUCUUGUUGCCCAGGCUGGAGUGCAAUGGCGUGAUCUUGGCUCACUGAAACCUCUGCCUCCCGGGUUCAAGCGAUUCUCCUGCCUCAGCCUCCUGAGUGGCUGGGAUUACAGGCAUACGCCACUACGACUGGCUAAUUUUGUAUUUUUAGUAAAGAUGGGAUUUCUCCAUGUUGGUGAGGCUGGUCUUGAACUCCCAACCUCAGAUGGCAUCUGAAGUGAGAUCCAAAGUGGAGCUUACAGAGACCUCCAGGAGCACUGAAUGGCCAAGACAGGCUACCUGCUAGGCCCAUGGUGUCCACUGCUUUUGUGCAGCAACUGGGGCACGUUUUUAGCCUCUGAAUUAAGAGUUCUGCAUAGGUAGCCAUGGUGAAGUCUGGAAACACGUUCUCAGUGCCUCAACCAGCAGCUACAAGUCAGAGUCAAGCCCAUUAUGACCCCUUCUUCCUGCCUGAGCUUUGGCCCCAGAUAUUCUGAGAGGGGUUGGAUCCUCCAGGGCAUCGACCUCACAGCUCUGUCUUCUGUCCUGAGCUCUUCUCCUGGCAUGUAAAUUCAGGACUCAGAUAAGCCCUGCCCUUCAUAGCCACCUUGGAUGCUGCGUGACUACCUGUGAGUCAGGAGGACUGGAAAAGACAUUAGGGAGGGUACCUGUGUCCUACUUUCAAAAUGUUUUUCAGUAAUUUUAAAUCUUAAAGUGAUGUUAUGUUAAAGCAUAAUCAUAAAAUGGGAGUCAUUUGUAAGUUAAAAAAUAUUAAAACAUUAAUUACCAAACCUAAGUUUAAGUUUAUAUAGUUUGGCAUCUUAUUUUUGUAUGGUAUAGAGAAGCUAAAUAUAUUUACGUCUGUUAAUAAAAUAUAGGAAGAAACAUCUUUCUAAAAUUUAUAGAAUAAUUUAAUAAUUUUUAUCUGCAAAUACUGAUAUAAAACAGUUCAAAAUUACUUCCUAGGGAUUUCACUAAAAACUAGGGUUAAAGAGUUCAUGUAGUUAAUAUAUGUAAUUAAAACAACUAGAUGUAAGAAAAACAAUUCUGUAUAGUAUAUAAAAGCAAGAUAUGCUUUUGAUGAUGGAAGUUAUAAAGGCAUAAAAUGUAUGUUUGUUAAAAAAAAAUUUGUCUAGGCGAAGUUACUAGAGUUGCCUAGUUUGAAGUUUGUCCAGUUUGAAGUUAGUUAAAGGUUACUUAAGUUACUUAAAGGUUGUUUCAAAUUGAAGGAAUAAAAGGAAUGUAGAUAAAAUUAAAAUAUAAAAAGUUGAAAAAAUUUUUAAUUGUACGAGAUUAUAAAAGGGUUAUGGGAAUCUGGUGUGGUCAAAAGCUGACUGACAUUGAAUGAGUUUGUUUAUAAGGUUUUAUUAAAAUUAGCUUUAUUGAUAAUACACUAAUGCAAAAGUAAAAUUUGGUUUUCUCUUUUGAACAAAAAUUUCUUAUAGUGUUAAUAGUGAUAGCAAGAUAUUUUUGUUUACCUUUUGAGUAAACUGCAAAAAAUAAAAAAAGAGAGAGAGAGACAGAUUCUGCCUCACGCUGUCUUUCUCAGGUCUUUAGAUUGUUUGGAAAACUGCGUCUCCUCUAUCAGAGAGUAAUGUUUUUGCUUUUUAAAAUCUUUUCGUUAUCACUUUACCUAAAUAAAUGACUACUAUUUUAUGAUGACCUGUGACCCUAUUUUGAUCAAGUGUUUUAAACCUUUUAUAUUUGUUUGACAGGCUUCCCAAAAUCAAAUUUCCACUUCAAAAUUAAGUCUCUUUUGACCUUGAAUUUUAGAAUACUACAGAGAGCCCCUGAAGCCUCCAUAAGAGAGUUAACGGGAUUGAUAUGUUAAAUCAUAUGGAAAGCAUUGCCAAAUAAUAAAUGAUGUUUAACCUUCU
rnacentral:lncRNA from 1 species